UACCAGCACCCCGAGUGGUCGGGACGAUUACUGGGCCUAAAGCAUCCGUAGCCGGUUCUACAAGUCUUCCGUUAAAUCCACCUGCUCAACAGAUGGGCUGCGGAGGAUACUAUAGAGCUAGGAGGCGGGAGAGGCAAGCGGUACUUAGUGGGUAGGGGUAAAAUCCGUUGAUCCAGUGAAGACCACCAGUGGCGAAGGCGGCUUGCCAGAACGCGCUCGACGGUGAGGGAUGAAAGCUGGGGGAGCAAACCGG
rnacentral:rRNA from 1 species